CAGCCGCGUAAUUCCAGCUCCAAUAGCGUAUAUUAAAGUUGUUGCAGUUAAAAAGCUCGUAGUUGAAUUUCGGGGUUAGUAGGUUGGUCAUGCCUCUGGUAUGUACUGGUCUCACUGAUUCCUCCUUCCUGAUGAACCUUAAUGCCAUUUAUUUGGUGUUUUGGGGAAUUUGGACUGUUACUUUGAAAAAAUUAGAGUGUUUAAAGCAAGCUAACGCUUGAAUACAUUAGCAUGGGAUAAUGAAAUAGGACGUUCGAUCCUAUUUUGUUGGUUUCUAGGAUUGACGUAAUGAUUAAUAGGGAUAGUUGUGGGCAUUAGUAUUCAAUUGUCAUAGGUGAAAUUCUUGGAUUUAUUUAAGACUAACUACUGCGAAAGCAUUUGCCAAGGAUGUUUUCAUUAAUCAAGAACGAAAGUUAGGGGAUCGAAGACGAUCAGAUACCGUCGUAGUCUUAACCAUAAACUAUGCCGACUAGGGAUCGGAUGAUGUUAAUUUUUUAAUGACUCAUUCGGCGCCUUACG
rnacentral:misc_RNA from 1 species